GCGGCGGUAGCUCAGUGGUAGAGCGUGGGACUGCAGUAACUCCUGCAUUCAUCUUAAGGUCACCAGUUCAAACCUGGUUCGCCGCU